rnacentral:rRNA from 1 species
CCUACGGGAGGCUGCAGUGAGGAAUAUUGGUCAAUGGACGAGAGUCUGAACCAGCCAAGUAGCGUGAAGGAUGACUGCCCUAUGGGUUGUAAACUUCUUUUAUAUGGGAAUAAAAUGUUCCACGUGUGGGAUUUUGUAUGUACCAUAUGAAUAAGGAUCGGCUAACUCCGUGCCAGCAGCCGCGGUAAUACGGAGGAUCCGAGCGUUAUCCGGAUUUAUUGGGUUUAAAGGGAGCGUAGGUGGAUUGUUAAGUCAGUUGUGAAAGUUUGCGGCUCAACCGUAAAAUUGCAGUUGAAACUGGCAGUCUUGAGUACAGUAGAGGUGGGCGGAAUUCGUGGUGUAGCGGUGAAAGGCUUAGAUAUCACGAAGAACUCCGAUUGCGAAGGCAGCUCACUGGACUGCAACUGACACUGAGGCUCGAAAGUGUGGGUAUCAAACAGGAUUAGAUACCCCAGUAGUC